CGCCCUUCAGGCCUAACACAUGCAAGUCGCACGAGAAAGGGAGCGAUCCCCGGUACAGUGGCGCACGGGUGAGUAACACGUGGAUGAUCUUCCUGGGAGUGGUGGAUAACCUGCCGAAAGGCGGGCUAAGACAGCAUGGGACCACGUUGCUACGGCAACGGGGUGAAAGCAGGCCUCUGUGCACACGCUUGCGCUUCCAGAUGAGUCCGCGGUCCAUCAGCUAGUUGGUGAGGUAACGGCUCACCAAGGCGACGACGGAUAGCUGGUCUGAGAGGAUGGCCAGCCACACUGGAACUGAGACACGGUCCAGACUCCUACGGGAGGCAGCAGUGGGGAAUCUUGCGCAAUGGGCGAAAGCCUGACGCAGCGACGCCGCGUGGGUGACGAAGGCCUUCGGGUUGUAAAACCCUGUGGGGUGGAACGAACCGGCCUGGGGAUAACACCUCCAGGCUCUGACGGUACUACCUUAGCAAGCACCGGCUAACUCUGUGCCAGCAGCCGCGGUAAGACAGAGGGUGCGAACGUUGCUCGGAAUUACUGGGCGUAAAGCGCGAGUAGGUGGUGGGACAAGUCGGAUGUGAAAGCCCUGGGCUCAACCCGGGAAGGGCAUUCGAUACUAUUUCACUGGAGUCUUGAAGAGGAGAGCGGAAUUCCCGGUGUAGAGGUGAAAUUCGUAGAUAUCGGGAGGAACACCAGGGGCGAAGGCGGCUCUCUGGGCAAUGACUGACACUGAGACGCGAAAGCGUGGGAAGCAAACAGGAUUAGAUACCCUGGUAGUCCACGCUGUAAACGAUGACGACUGGGUGUUGCGGGUAUUGACCCCCGCGGUGCCGAAGCCAACGCGUUAAGUCGUCCGCCUGGGAAGUACGGCCGCAAGGCUAAAACUCAAAGGAAUUGACGGGGGCCCGCACAAGCGGUGGAGCAUGUGGUUUAAUUCGACGCAACGCGAAAAACCUUACCCGGGCUCGAAAAUGACGGAAGCUGGCUGAAAAGCUGGU
rnacentral:rRNA from 1 species